AUUGAACGCUGGCGGCAGGCUUAACACAUGCAAGUCGAGCGAGCGGCGGACGGGUGAGUAAUGUCUGGGACACUGCCUGAUGGAGGGGGAUAACUACUGGAAACGGUAGCUAAUACCGCAUACCAUCAGAUUUUCCCAGAUGGGAUUAGCUAGUAGGUGGGGGAAUGGCUCACCUAGGCGACGAUCACUAGCUGGUCUGAGAGGAUGACCAGCCCAACUGGAACUGAGACACGGCCCAGACUCCUACGGGAGGCAGCGGUGGGGAAUAUUGCACAAUGGGCGCAAGCCUGAUGCAGCCAUGCCGCGUGUGUGAAGAAGGCUUUCGGGUUGUAAAGCACUGUCAGCGAGGAGGCGUUACUCGCAGAAGAAGCAACGGCUAACUCCGUGCCAGCCGCCGCGGUAAUUC
rnacentral:rRNA from 1 species